ensembl:rRNA 5S_rRNA 5S ribosomal RNA
GCUUACGGCCAUACCAGCCCAAGAACGCCCGGUCUCGUCUGAUCUCGGAAGCUAAGAAGGCUUGGGCCUAAUUAGUACUUGGAUGGGAGACCUCCUGGAAUACCAGGUGCUGUAAGCU